rnacentral:lncRNA from 10 species
UUAAUUUAUUACUGAGAAAAAAAUACUUUAAAGUAAAUUGAGUGUAGCCUAAGUAUGCACUGCUUAUAAAGCCUACAAUAGUGUACAGUAAUGUCCAGGUCUUCACAUUCACUCACGACUCACCCACUUCUCAGACCAACUUCCAGUCCUACAAGCUCCAUUCAUGGUAAGUGCCUUAUACAGGUGUUAGGGACAAACUGCCCCCAAAAAGCUUCUUGAAAUGUCUCCGUGCUGCCCUCCGCUCCCCACUCUGCAACUCCUUUCCAUGCCGCCCCACUCUUUCCCUCAAGCCUGUUUACAUUUCUAAGCCCUUAUCUGGGUGCCAGCAAACUUUGCGGUGAAGCCAGCAAACUUCACUUAUCAGACCCCGCUGCUGUGAGCAAACCCCAAUUACAAACUAUCCGGACCACACAGGGGGAGGUCGUGGGAAGCAUAAACAAACUUUACCCUCCUGUAAGUUCCUGCUAUCAUAAAUGUCACCAGGUGAUAUUUGGCAAAAUUAACCAGCAAACACCCCCAGGAUGCGGCCGUACCAAAAAACUCCCUCAAACUCCCUCCCCAGUAUAAACCCCUCAUUCUGUAAGCUUGGCGCUACCUCCUCUGAGUGUGGUGGAGUAGCCCGGCUGGUUCAACAAAGUUACUCGCCUGACUUUGGGUCUAUUCUUCCUUCCCUCGGCUGCCCUUACAUUCUGGUGCCGAAAGCCCGGAAGGGGAUAGACUCUGGCCGGGACUCACUCUCUCCUCUCUCUCCCUCCCCAUCACCGCUCUCCUGGCCAUUCUCACCUUUCCCCAACCUGCCGAAGACCCAGAGAAUCUCCUAGGUUCUCCCUUUGCUGGCGACCUCAUCCACCAUCAAAACCUCCGCCAGGUAAGAAGUAUGCUUUUCAACUGGACUGGAUAUUCCUGUUAGCCUGACCAGUGCAUCCUGUUCCCAAAGAAAGGCCACACAGGAAGCUGCCUUAGUCCAUUUGUGCUGCUAUAACAAAAUAUCUGAGACUGAGUAAUUUAUAAAUAGCAGACAUUCAUUUGUCAUAGUUCUGGAGGCUGGGAAGUCCAAGAUCACAAGGCACUGGCAAGAUUGGGGUCUGGUGAGGCUGCUCUCUGCUUCCCAGAUGGGCCCUCAUGGCUUCAUCCUACAGAGAGAGGGAUGCUGUGUCUUCAUGUGGGAGUAGGGAUAGAAGGGCAAGAGAGUACUCCCUUCAACCUGGAGCCCUUUUAUAAAGGUACUAAUCCCAUGCAUCAAGGCAGAGUCCACAUAACUUAAUCACCUCCCAAAGACCACACCUCUCAAUACUGUUGCCCUGGGGAUGAAGUUUCAACACAAAUUUUGGAGGAGGCACCAUCAGAAGCCAAGACAUCAGUGGGCUGCUUGGAGAUCCAGGAGUCAGGGAAGGUAUGUGGCAUUUUAUUUGAUUCACAAACAGCACCAUCAAUAACAACACCAGAAACCCCAAUCCACUAUUAUCUUCCUCAUUUCCAAGUUCUAGCAGAGGGUGUGGAGGAAGUGGACAUCUCUUAAUAUACCACAUAGCACCAGCUGAACCACCAAACUGCACUGGUAAACAGACUCAAUAAGAAAAACUGGACUGGUGAAUGGAAUUCUGUAGCUCUCAAGAUUGAAAUCUUCACCUAAUUGAUCAUUGAGCCUUUCAGCAAGAUCCUCUCAUAUUUAGGAAAGCAAAACAACACCAACAAGUCUCUAAGAGGAUGUAAUACAUAGUUAAUGUCUAUUCAAGUUUAAAACAAUCAUGAAAUGAUAAUUUCUGGAAAAUCCUACAUUACAAAAUUGAUUUGCAUGUGUUUACAAACCUCAAAAAACAUCCAGACAACCUUGUGAAACUGAUAUAUUUUCCCUUCAAUGGCUUAAGGGCCAAGUUUUAUUGCCAGUGGAUUCCUUCAAACUAUUAAUGAAUAGAGAGUUUUUGUGGUAACAAAUAUGUUUUAAAACUUGGCAGAAGAUAGAAAGCUUUCAUUUGUGAUUUAGGAAACUUGAUAGAGCAUAAAGAAUAGGAAGUAAAGUCUUAUUCAGUGGUCAAGGCUGCGUGAGCAGCUCUCACUUCCCUUCUUCCGCUGGAAACUUUUUCCAGGUGAGCUCAACUCCCAGCUUCCCUAGGACCCCAAGGAGCAGAAGGUCUUUGGCCUGCAUCAUUCACAGUAAUGGGAAUAAGAGUGGAGUUCCAGUCCCUGUUGGGUCAGACAGGGAGCAGAGAGAGAGAGGCUGCUGGGUGCCUGGGUCCUGGGGCUGCCACACUCCCUGCAGGGGGUUGGCUCAGUGCCAGGCACUCUGCUCACCUGAGGGUUUGGGACUGGGAAUAAGCCUAUGUGAUUUUGCCAAAGAGAGUUUUCUAGACUCUACGAAUGUGUUGUCAGAAGGAAAUUAUCCAUGGAGUCUUGCUGACUCCCGCACUUAUAACACCUGCACCAAGUGACCAUCUCUGUGUCCCAAAACUUUCAUUUCAUGUUUGUAGGACUCUAGAAAGCUGUCCUCUAAUGUCAUAAGUAAAGUGCUCAGCCCUCUACCUUUCUCUGCUGAUACUGGCUUCCCUUUUGAGGCUACUCAUUACAAAUAGGAUUCUACGUCCACUCAAAGUCACUUCAAGAGGGAUUCACCAGUCCUGGCAAUCUUUUCCUGUCUUAAAUGCCCCGAUUUCUCCCUCCCAAUCCCCCUCCAUAGUUUCCUAGGGCACAUGCCAACUUUUACUAUCUCUGUGUCUUCCCAGAUGGCAUAGUCCCAGGAGCUAGGAAGGUUGGAUAUUACAUUUCCUGAACAUGGUGAGCAACACCUCACCCUACCCUCAAUCUUCUGGGAAAGGGGUGCCUCCAGAACUAGAACCUGCCCUUGCUGGACAAUUUUUUGAGUUAAACACAUUUCCCCCAAGGUCUGAGGUGGCAGUUUUCUGUUCCUCGUGGUUGCUGAUCACACAGGUCAGGCUGGCAUUGCACUGGCUCAGUGGCAGGCUCACGGCCAGGGUCCCGGGGUUGUAGGCUGGUCCUGGCAUCCCUGUCUGGUCCAGCUCUCUGGGGAGGCCUUUGCUCUCUCUCAGGUCACAUUUAGGUCCUCUGUGGCUCUUGGAGCCCUGCCCUCUUGGGUAAAUUUUCAGCAGUCUGGUGUGAUGGACGGUGACCUGGUUGGGACCUGGAAAAGGGGCACAGGCUCUGGGGUAGAAUGGGACAGAAGAAUUAAUGCACUUGUAGAGCACACUCCUCAUCCAUUAUCUCAAUACUUUCAGAGCACCUACUGGGCAGGCAGGGCACUUUGCAGCCAGAGAAACAGGCUUGGGGAAGUGAAACAGUUUACCCAAAGUGAUACACUGAGAAAGUGCCACAGAGCCCCAGAUUUAGAGAAGAGACGGCAACCAAAGUCUCUCAGCUUCCUCCACCACCCAUACUCCCUUCUCUUGUUCUGCACACACGUCAUCUGAUCCUUCACAACUCUCAUAGCACUUGGAAGGUAAAUUCAAACCUCUAGGGAAAAUACCUGCCACAUACAGAAUUUACAAAGGAGUUUCUGAAAACUGGUUUUAAGGCCCAUAAGCUGUCACCUAUACCAAUGACAUUAAGAGAUUAGAAUUUGGAGAUACGGUGGAAGGUGGAGAGAGUUAUGCUGCAAGUCCCCUUCCCACCUCAUGGGUACCCACCCCUCCCUUCGAUCCUAGUGAGCAAAGUUCAAUGAUACCAUUCAGACAGCUUGAUAUGUCCCAUGCGGAUUGGGGAUGCACUGAACGGUGUCUGAUCCAUACCUGAGAUAGCCAAGGGGGGAGAUGCUGCCGAAAUAGCCUAUGGUACCAGAGUAUUGGCUGCCACUAGGGAAGAAAUUGCAGUGCCAUUGAUGAACAUAUUUUUCAUCGUCCAGAUGCAAGUACUUAACAGAACUGUGUUGAGAGCCAAAAGGAGGAGUAAUAGAACCCCAGUAGAGAGAUUGUGUAGAAACGGACUAGCUAUGGGCUGGGCACAGUGGCUCACGCCUGUAAUCCCAGCACUUUGGGAGGCCGAGGUCAGGAGAUGGAGACCAUCCUGACUAACACGGUAAAACCCUGUCUCUACUAAAAAUACAAAAAAUUAGCCGGGUGUGGUGGUGGGCACCUGUAGUCCCAGCUACUGGGGAGGCUGAGGCAGGAAAAUGGCAUGAACCCUGGAGGCAGAACUUGAAGUGAGCCGUGAUCACACCACUGCACUCCAGCCUGAGUGAUAGAGCAAGACUCCAUCUCAAAAAAAUAAAAAUAAAAAAAUAAAAAAGAAAAAAAGAAAGAAAUGGACCAGCUAUGUACCAGGGGUAAAAAAGACAGAAAUGCUCACCCCUUGAGUAUAUUACCUGUAAAGGAAUAGAUGGCAGAUUCCCAGCACGAGGGAGGAGAAGUAUCUAAAGAACCUAUGAAAAUGCCCCAUGGGAGAAAGAAUCACGCUAAUCACUGUCGAAUCCAGAGGACGAACUGCUUGAUGACGACAACGGGAUGAGCCAGGGAAGGCUCUUCCCGACUCCUCAACUCCAUCCUCUUUUCUGCUCCUCUCUCCUUUCCCAUCCCCAUGGACUGGGGAAGGGAGUUCCCCCACAUUGAUAUUAUCUAUAAUUAAUAAAAUACUUCUCUUGCUCAUUUUGAAAGUCAAAGAUGAACACUGAGUUCUGCAUUCUCUGUGGCCUCCACCUGAAGCAGUAGCUGCCUGGCCCAAAAGUGUUGGAGGUUUUUGGGCAACAGAAAAUAUAAGAAUAAUAAGGACAUUUUGGAAACUCCCAGACAAGAAGGCACUUCAGCUGACUCAGGAAGCCCCUCCUAAUGAUCUGAUGAUAGAAUAUGCUCAAUAAAAAUAUAAUAAAAAUGUUUUGUAUAAUUUAGUUUCAACAAAACUCCAGUUAUGGAGAGUUCCAAGGGAGAAUUUUGUGCUAAAGAGAUGAAUGGAAUUUGAAGUUCUGGUGGCUCCAGGGGGUAUCAGAAGCAUACGUUAGAGGCCCAUGUUAAACGACCCUACAUGGAAUGAUGCCUGGGCUCAGGGUUCCAGCAUGUGAUAAGAAUUCACACCCACACCAUGCACAGUACAGUGCAGCUGUCAGCCCCCUUAGCUGAUUUCCCAGGCCAGAAGACAGAAACCUUCCCAUCAGAGUUUCAUCCCAGUUCCUCAUCUGCCUUUCUGCAGCUUCUCUACAAGCACAAGCACAGCCUAGGCACAGUGGAAUCAGGCGCCUCCAGGAACCACAGAGGUGGGAGGUGCUCCAGCCCCAGUGGUGGAAGCAGGAGGCUUCAUUAGCCCCAGACACCUACCCUAGACAUGGGCUGCCUGGUUUUCCUAAGGGUCUUUAAUCUUUUCUUAUACACAUUGUUUUCUUGGAAGCAUCGACUGUGUUCUUUAUCUCCUCCUAAUAUAUUCAUUGGUCUUUCUCAGAUCCUCAUUCGACGCUGGCUUUGGGGCAGUUCUCCACCUAAGCUAAAUGUAUUACAGCUUAGGCACACACCAUAGACAAAGAUAAAAUUGUGUAAAAGCUAGAGGUAGAAAAGACAGACCAUCUGCAAAGCAAUGUUGAGAAAAUGAUAGCCCAGCAGUAAUGUAUAUUGUAUGAUAUCUUCAGUGGUUUGUAGAAAAUAAUUGCCAGCUUUAAACUGUAUACCUGAGUAAACUAUCUUCAAAAAUGAG